rnacentral:rRNA from 1 species
GCGGCGUGCUUAACACAUGCAAGUCGAACGGAAAGGCCCUGCUUUUGUGGGGUGCUCGAGUGGCGAACGGGUGAGUAACACGUGGGUAACCUGCCCUUGACUUUGGGAUAACUUCAGGAAACUGGGGCUAAUACCGGAUAGGAGCUCCUGCUGCAUGGUGGGGGUUGGAAAGUUUCGGCGGUUGGGGAUGGACUCGCGGCUUAUCAGCUUGUUGGUGGGGUAGUGGCUUACCAAGGCUUUGACGGGUAGCCGGCCUGAGAGGGUGACCGGCCACAUUGGGACUGAGAUACGGCCCAGACUCCUACGGGAGGCAGCAGUGGGGAAUAUUGCACAAUGGGCGGAAGCCUGAUGCAGCAACGCCGCGUGCGGGAUGACGGCCUUCGGGUUGUAAACCGCUUUCGCCUGUGACGAAGCGUGAGUGACGGUAAUGGGUAAAGAAGCACCGGCUAACUACGUGCCAGCAGCCGCGGUGAUACGUAGGGUGCGAGCGUUGUCCGGAUUUAUUGGGCGUAAAGGGCUCGUAGGUGGUUGAUCGCGUCGGAAGUGUAAUCUUGGGGCUUAACCCUGAGCGUGCUUUCGAUACGGGUUGACUUGAGGAAGGUAGGGGAGAAUGGAAUUCCUGGUGGAGCGGUGGAAUGCGCAGAUAUCAGGAGGAACACCAGUGGCGAAGGCGGUUCUCUGGGCCUUUCCUGACGCUGAGGAGCGAAAGCGUGGGGAGCGAACAGGCUUAGAUACCCUGGUAGUCCACGCUGUAAACGGUGGGUACUAGGUGUGGGGUCCAUUCCACGGGUUCCGUGCCGUAGCUAACGCUUUAAGUACCCCGCCUGGGGAGUACGGCCGCAAGGCUAAAACUCAAAGGAAUUGACGGGGCCCCGCACAAGCGGCGGAGCAUGCGGAUUAAUUCGAUGCAACGCGUAGAACCUUACCUGGGUUUGACAUGGAUCGGGAGUGCUCAGAGAUGGGUGUGCCUCUUUUGGGGUCGGUUCACAGGUGGUGCAUGGCUGUCGUCAGCUCGUGUCGUGAGAUGUUGGGUUAAGUCCCGCAACGAGCGCAACCCUUGUUCACUGUUGCCAGCACGUUAUGGUGGGGACUCAGUGGAGACCGCCGGGGUCAACUCGGAGGAAGGUGGGGAUGACGUCAAGUCAUCAUGCCCCUUAUGUCCAGGGCUUCACGCAUGCUACAAUGGCUGGUACAGAGAGUGGCGAGCCUGUGAGGGUGAGCGAAUCUCGGAAAGCCGGUCUCAGUUCGGAUUGGGGUCUGCAACUCGACCUCAUGAAGUCGGAGUCGCUAGUAAUCGCAGAUCAGCAACGCUGCGGUGAAUACGUUCCCGGGGCUUGUACACACCGCCCGUCAAGUCAUGAAAGUUGGUAACACCCGAAGCCGGUGGCCUAACCGUUGUGGGGGAGCCGUCGAAGGUGGGACUGGUGAUU